rnacentral:rRNA from 1 species
AAAUCCUGGAGCUCAACUCCAGAACUGCCUUUGAUACUUGCAAUCGUGAGUCCGGAAGAGGUGAGUGGACCUCCUAGUGUAGAGGUGGAAUUCGUAGAUAUUAGGAAGAACACCAGUGGCGAAGGCGGCUCACUGGUCCGGUACUGACGCUGAGGUGCGAAAGCGUGGGGAGCAAACAGG